AGAGUUUGAUCCUGGCUCAGGAUGAACGCUAGCUACAGGCUUAACACAUGCAAGUCGAGGGGAAACGGACAUCGAAAGCUUGCUUUUGAUGGGCGUCGACCGGCGCACGGGUGAGUAACGCGUAUCCAACCUGCCCACCACUUGGGGAUAACCUUGCGAAAGUAAGACUAAUACCCAAUGAUAUCUCUAGAAGACAUCUGAAAGAGAUUAAAGAUUUAUCGGUGAUGGAUGGGGAUGCGUCUGAUUAGCUUGUUGGCGGGGUAACGGCCACAAGGCGACGAUCAGUAGGGGUUCUGAGAGGAAGGUCCCCCANAUUGGAACUGAGACACGGUCCAAACUCCGUACGGGAGGCA
rnacentral:rRNA from 1 species